AAGUCGAGCGGACCGACGGGAGCUUGCUCCCUUAGGUCAGCGGCGGACGGGUGAGUAACACGUGGGUAACCUGCCUGUAAGACUGGGAUAACUCCGGGAAACCGGGGCUAAUACCGGAUGCUUGAUUGAACCGCAUGGUUCAAUCAUAAAAGGUGGCUUUUAGCUACCACUUGCAGAUGGACCCGCGGCGCAUUAGCUAGUUGGUGAGGUAACGGCUCACCAAGGCGACGAUGCGUAGCCGACCUGAGAGGGUGAUCGGCCACACUGGGACUGAGACACGGCCCAGACUCCUACGGGAGGCAGCAGUAGGGAAUCUUCCGCAAUGGACGAAAGUCUGACGGAGCAACGCCGCGUGAGUGAUGAAGGUUUUCGGAUCGUAAAACUCUGUUGUUAGGGAAGAACAAGUACCGUUCGAAUAGGGCGGUACCUUGACGGUACCUAACCAGAAAGCCACGGCUAACUACGUGCCAGCAGCCGCGGUAAUACGUAGGUGGCAAGCGUUGUCCGGAAUUAUUGGGCGUAAAGCGCGCGCAGGCGGUUUCUUAAGUCUGAUGUGAAAGCCCCCGGCUCAACCGGGGAGGGUCAUUGGAAACUGGGGAACUUGAGUGCAGAAGAGGAGAGUGGAAUUCCACGUGUAGCGGUGAAAUGCGUAGAGAUGUGGAGGAACACCAGUGGC
rnacentral:rRNA from 1 species